UUGGAGCAGAGGGCAGUUUGAAGGAGUUGGAGCACACUGCAGUUUGGAGGAGCUGAAGUAGAGGAGAGUUUGGAGAAGUGCUGUGGCUGGCUAGAAGACCAAGACCCUAGGUAAAGAGACACCGGGCUUGUGGAGAGAGGGAGGGGGAGGAAGCCCCACAAGCUGAAG